rnacentral:rRNA from 1 species
CUGCUAAUACCGGAUGUGCCUACGGGUGAAAGGCUUGCUGCCUAAAAAGAGCUUGCGUCCGAUUAGCUAGUUGGUAAGGUAAAGGCUUACCAAGGCAUCGAUCGGUAGCUGGUCUGAGAGGAUGACCAGCCACACUGGGACUGAGACAAGGCCCAGACUCCUACGGGAGGCAGCAGUGGGGAAUUUUCCGCAAUGGGCGAAAGCCUGACGGAGCAAUACCGCGUGAGGGAAGAAGGCUCUUGGGUUGUAAACCUCUUUUCUCAGGGAAUAAAAAAAUGAAGGUACCUGAGGAAUAAGCAUCGGCUAACUCCGUGCCAGCAGCCGCGGUAAGACGGAGGAUGCAAGCGUUAUCCGGAAUGAUUGGGCGUAAAGCGUCCGCAGGUGGCAGUUCAAGUCUGCUGUCAAAGACCGGGGCUCAACCUCGGAAAGGCAGUGGAAACUGAACAGCUAGAGUAUGGUAGGGGCAAAGGGAAUUCCUGGUGUAGCGGUGAAAUGCGUAGAGAUCAGGAAGAACAUCGGUGGCGAAGGCGCUUUGCUGGACCAUAACUGACACUCAGGGACGAAAGCUAGGGGAGCGAA